UACAAAAAAGAAAAAGGGAAAAGGGCCUAAAAAAACCCAUAAAAUGGGCACUUAAAGACAAAGGCUCUUGAAGCCUUAACCAAAAAACUUCCAUCGUGAAAAGCAGAAAGCAGAGGCCACGAAAAAAAAACAGAACACUAAGUUCUGUUCGCUCACGAAACCGAGCACGCAGGCAACGAAAAAUACUAGGGUUCUUCACAACUCACUUAUUCUUGAACUCAGAAUCGAUUGUUUGACUGGUGUCAAUUGGACUGGGGUCUACGUAUUGGCUCAAGGAGUUUUGAGGAACUGGAUUUGCAGGCGAGCAGGUUACGAGUUAGGAUUUCCUUCCCUUCCAAUGAUAUUGGUGAGCUCCGCUUUUGUUCGUGGAGUAUUCUUAGAGUCAUUUUCAUUUAGCUAUUUCUUUGUUUAUUUAGAGACCUGGCCAGGAAAUCUCAUGUCCUGAGCAGUGCGUCAGUUUAUCAGUAGAGGCUUCAUAGACAUAGUCAAUGGGUUAAGAUUUAGAUGUUUUUUUAUUAUAAUAACUUAGCAUA